CAAUAGCGUAUAUUAAAGUUGUUGCAGUUAAAAAGCUCGUAGUUGGAUCUGGGGUACAGGCGGUCGGUCCACCUCGCGGUGUUGACUGGCCUGCCCGGCCCACCUUCUGGUCCUUCCUUGGUGCUCUUGACUGAGUGCCCUGGGCGGCUGGGACGUUUACUUUGAAAAAAUUAGAGUGCUCAAAGCAGUCCUGAGCGACUGAAUAUUGUUGCAUGGAAUAAUGGAACAGGACCCCGGUUCUGUUGUGUUGGUUUUCGGAACUGAGGUAAUGAUUAAGAGGAACAGACGGGGGCAUUCGUAUUACGGCGGGAGAGGUGAAAUUCUUGGAUCGCCGUAAGACGAACUACUGCGAAAGCAUUUGCCAAGAAUGUUUUCAUUAA
rnacentral:rRNA from 1 species